rnacentral:sRNA from 1 species
UGUGCAUGCGUGCGCCGCUGUUGGCAGC